GAUGAACGCUGGCGGCGUGCUUAACACAUGCAAGUCGAACGGAAAGGCCCAAGCUUGCUUGGGUACUCGAGUGGCGAACGGGUGAGUAACACGUGGGUGAUCUGCCCUGCACUUCGGGAUAAGCCUGGGAAACUGGGUCUAAUACAGGAUAGGACCACAUUUUGGAUGGUGUGGUGGAAAGUUUUUCGGUGUGGGAUGAGCUCGCGGCCUAUCAGCUUGUUGGUGGGGUAAUGGCGUACCAAGGCGUCGACGGUGAGCCGGCAUGAGAGGGUGUACGGCCACAUUGGAACUGAGAUACAGCCCAGACUCCGACGGGAGGCAGCAGGGGGGAAUAUUGCACAAUGGGCGCAAGCCUGAUGCAGCGACGCCGCGUGGGGGAUGACGGCUUUCGGGUUGUAAACUCCUUUCGCUAGGGACGAAGCGUUUUUGUGACGGUACCUGGAGAAGAAGCACCGGCUAACUACGUG
rnacentral:rRNA from 1 species